rnacentral:SRP_RNA from 1 species
CGCCAGCUCCUCCGCGACGACUCGCCGUGAACCCCGCCAGGCCCGGAAGGGAGCAACGGUAACGGUCGAUGCGGGCGCCGGAGAUUCGGCUGGCGCGG